GAGAUUCCACUUGCCUGCACAUGCAACUAGGGCAGGGUAAACUGGAAAUUUUGUUGGUGAGGUGCAAUGUCCUUGUUCUGGGUAUCUGGUGGAGUAUAUUUGGCUGUUGACUAAAGAAUUGUUUUUAAAAAUAUGGUAGCACAAGACUUGAAGAGCAACUUUAACAUCUGACAUUGUCCCUAGCUGCUGCUCUGGGAAGUUUCUUAAUGUCAUUUUUAUUUCUGCUUCAAGUCUAGGUGACUGCAUCUGUCAGCAAACAUACCAGGAGAGACAGACAAACCUCUGGGAAUGGCACACCUCACAGGGCUCAAUCACUCUCAGCCUGUCCCACUUCACCCUCUGUGGCUUCACAGAUUUUGAAAAAUAUGGGUAAAGGAGAAGAAUCACUCAGCCUUCAGCAAAUUUUGGAUGGACCACAUCCAGAUCUGGCAUCCCUGUCUCCUGCUCAUCAGCAACCCUGGUGAAACCCCCAACAGCCUGGGCAGCAAGAUAGAAGUGCUGCCAGCCCCAGGAUUCCUGAAUCAUGACUCAACAGUGAGGAGAUACAGGAACCUAAAGAGCCAAGAGAGGAGCAACAUCUACUGCAGGAGGUCAGUAGUGAACAGCCAGGGGACGGGAGCACCCAAAAUGUGACGGAUUUCUACUAAGCAAGUGUGUGCCCAAACCACAGAUUUAUCCAAUUAAAAGCCAGGCUUGGAGCAGUUUAAGUUUAUUCUCUGCAUUAGGAAUUCCUGAUGUUUUACUAAACAGAUGUAAAGUUGCUUUAAAUACAUCACAUGCAAAGGGUGUGGUAUGGACCAUACACUGCAAACUAGAGCUCUAUGUUUGUUAACUCAAACUGGCAUGACCUCACUUGGCCCUUCAGCUACUCUCUAGGUAAAAGAAGGAAAAACAGGAAUCUUCCCAAGGAGGCAGGCUGAAGACCAGCUUAAUCUGUGCC
rnacentral:lncRNA from 1 species